CAAAGUCUAUUCUUAAUCUUAGGGCUUGAUUUGAUUAAUAAUUGAGUAUUAUUCGUUUGUUUUUUAUGAAUUGAUGAAUUGUAUCUUAUC
rnacentral:tRNA from 1 species